rnacentral:rRNA from 1 species
CAAUAGCGUAUAUUAAAGUUGUUGCAGUUAAAAAGCUCGUAGUUGGAUUUCUGGUGGGAGCGAUCGGUCUGGCGCUUAGCGCGAGUACUUGCAUCGUCUCCGGCCAUCCUUGGGGAGAGUCUGUCUGGCAUUAAGUUGUCGGGCAGAGGAUCCUCAUCGUUUACUGUGAAAAAAUUAGAGUGUUCAAAGCAGGCUUAUGCCGUUGAAUAUAUUAGCAUGGAAUAAUAAGAUAGGACUUUGGUACUAUUUUGUUGGUUUGCGCACCAAAGUAAUGAUUAAUAGGGACAGUUGGGGGUAUUCGUAUUCCGUUGUCAGAGGUGAAAUUCUUGGAUUUACGGCAGACGAACUACUGCGAAAGCAUUUACCAAGGAUGUUUUCAUUAA